UACGGAGGGUGCUAGCGUUGUUCGGAAUUACUGGGCGUAAAGGGCUCGUAGGCGGUCUGUUGCGUCAGGAGUGAAAACUCGGGGCUUAACCCCGAGCCUGCUUCUGAUACGGGCAGACUAGAGGUAUGCAGGGGAGAACGGAAUUCCUGGUGUAGCGGUGAAAUGCGCAGAUAUCAGGAGGAACACCGGUGGCGAAGGCGGUUCUCUGGGCAUUACCUGACGCUGAGGAGCGAAAGUGUGGGGAGCGAACAGG
rnacentral:rRNA from 1 species